UACAGAGGCCCCGAGCGUUAUUCGGAAUCACUGGGCUUACAGGGUGCGUAGGCGGCCUUCCAAGUCAGGUGUGAAAUCCCACGGCUCAACCGUGGAACUGCGCUUGAAACUGGAUGGCUUGAGUCAGCUAGAGGUACACGGAACUUCCGGUGGAGCGGUGAUAUGUGUUGAUAUCGGAAGGAACACCAGAGGCGAAAGCGGUGUACUGGGGCUGUUCUGACGCUGAGGCACGAAAGCCAGGGUAGCGAACGGG
rnacentral:misc_RNA from 1 species